AGAGUUUGAUCCUGGCUCAGGAUAAACGCUGGCGGCGUGCCUAACACAUGCAAGUCGAACGUCCUUUCGCGCAAGCGAGAGGGAGUGGCGGACGGGUGAGUACCACGUGGGUACCUACCCCAAGAUGAGGAAUACCUCCGAGAAAUCGGGGACAACACCGCAUACGCUUCUUCACGGAAGCAAAGCUCGCAAGGGCGUCUUGGGAUGGGCCUGCGCCUGAUUAGCCGGUUGGUGGGGUAAGAGCCUACCAAGGCGACGAUCAGUAGCUGGUCUGAGAGGAUGAUCAGCCACACUGGGAUUGAGAACGGCCCAGACUCCUACGGGGGGCAGCAGUGAGGAAUUUUCGUCAAUGGAGGCAACUCUGAACGAGCAACGCCGCGUGCAGGAUGACCCUUUUCGGAGUGUAAACUGCUUUUCUCGGGGAAGAGACCGGACGGUACCCGAGGAACAAGCCCCGGCUAACUACGUGCCAGCAGCCGCGGUAAUACGUAGGGGGCGAGCGUUGUCCGGAGUUACUGGGCGUAAAGGGCCCGCAGGCGGUGUGCCAAGUUCGCACUGACAAUCCUCGGCUUAACCGAGGAGGGCGUGCGAAAACUGGCAGACUUGAGGAAGAGAGAGGGACAGGGAAUUCCGGGUGGAGUGGUGAAAUGCGUAGAUAUCCGGAGGAACCCCAAAGGCGAAGGCACUGUCCUGGCUCUUUCCUAACGCUCAGGGGCGAAAGCUAGGGGAGCGAACGGGAUUAGAUACCCCGGUAGUCC
rnacentral:rRNA from 1 species